rnacentral:snRNA from 14 species
GCGCCCCCUUCGGCUGCUGGUGGACUGAAGUUAGAACGAUACAGAGAUCACCACGGCCCCUGCGCAGGGAUGGCAUGCAAAUUCAAGAGGGGUUCCAUUUUUUU